rnacentral:rRNA from 1 species
GAUGAACGCUGGCGGCGUGCCUAAUACAUGCCAGUCGAGCGAACGGACGAGAAGCUUGCUUUUCUGAUGUUAGCGGCGGACGGGUGAGUAACACGUGGAUAACCUACCUAUAAGACUGGGAUAACUUCGGGAAACCGGAGCUAAUACCGGAUAAUAUUUUGAACCGCAUGGUUCAAAAGUGAAAGACGGUCUUGCUGUCACUUAUAGAUGGAUCCGCGCUGCAUUAGCUAGUUGGUAAGGUAACGGCUUACCAAGGCAACGAUGCAUAGCCGACCUGAGAGGGUGAUCGGCCACACUGGAACUGAGCCACGGUCCAGACUCCUACGGGAGGCAGCAGUAGGGAAUCUUCCGCAAUGGGCGAAAGCCUGACGGAGCAACGCCGCGUGAGUGAUGAAGGUCUUCGGAUCGUAAAACUCUGUUAUUAGGGAAGAACAUAUGUGUAAGUAACUGUGCACAUCUUGACGGUACCUAAUCAGAAAGCCACGGCUAACUACGUG